UUAAAUUGAAGAGUUUGAUCAUGGCUCAGAUUGAACGCUGGCGGCAGGCUUAACACAUGCAAGUCGAACGGUAACAUGAGUGCUUGCACUUGAUGACGAGUGGCGGACGGGUGAGUAAGGUAUGGGGAUCUGCCGAAUGGAAGGGGACAACAGUUGGAAACGACUGCUAAUACCGUAUAAAGUUGAGAGACCAAAGCAUGGGACCUUCGGGCCAUGCGCCAUUUGAUGAACCCAUAUGGGAUUAGCUAGUAGGUGGGGUAAGGGCUCACCUAGGCGACGAUCUCUAGCUGGUCUGAGAGGAUGGCCAGCCACACUGGAACUGAGACACGGUCCAGACUCCUACGGGAGGCAGCAGUGGGGAAUAUUGCACAAUGGGGGGAACCCUGAU
rnacentral:rRNA from 1 species